rnacentral:lncRNA from 1 species
CCUAAUUAACUCUUUUUAUUUGGUUACAAAGAAACCAAUGGAUCUGGUAGAUUGGAAUGUUGAUCUUAGAUCGUGUUUGGAACUUAAAUAUAUUUAAUUAAAGAAAUAAAGAUAUAAAUGUAUGAAUAAAUAUGUUUAUAGGAUAGUGAAUUUUUAUCCUUUUAUAAAAUAUAAAUGACAGAGUACAUGUCUUGCCUAUUUCAAUAUUCUUCAUCUUUUUCUUUUUUUGGUGAUGUGUGGUCCAGUCUCGCAAUGAGUAUCUACAUCAUUAAUUAUGGUUUUUUACGCAUCUUAUCUAGGACUUGAGGUUGAUAACUUGUUAUUCUGGUGAUGUGUGGUCCGGAAUUUACAUUCCUUGUUAUCUAGGACUUGAGGUUGAUAACUUGUUAUUCUGGUGAUGUGUGGUCCGGAAUUUACAUUCCUUGUUAUCUAGGACUUGAGGUUGAGAUGGGGUUAUUGUGCUUCCCUGUAAUGUUAAGUUGAUCCUUGAUUUGACAUAAUAUAAUCUAAUUUUAUUAAUUAAAAAUAAUUGAGAUUUUUUUUAAGAUUAAAUUUGAUAAUGAAACAAAAAAACAACAUUUUCUUUCAAAUUUUUUACUAUUCAUGAGGCAUGCUUUUUAAAAUUUUGGUCCUUGGAGUUUUCAUGUUUUCAUUUUUGCUCCCUUUGUUGAUUGGAUUUUUAAUUUUUAUUCAAAACUUUAUUUUAUUCAUUUUUAGUCCCUAAAUAUAAGAGAGGAGAGUGACUUCGAAAAAUAAGAAAGAAGAUAAAGUUUUCGGUUGACCACUUACCGACAAUAAAAAAACAAGAUUUUGGUGUAUCAUUUAGAAGUUUUUGAUCAUUUAUCUUACUGUAAUAAGUAGAUCGGGCUAGAUUAGACUUCAAGCUUUUUUUAUUAUUCAAAUGAUUUUUUUACAGAUUAAAGGUUAUUUAAGGUUAGAAAUGAGUUUAUUAAUGUCUCUAACAUGUUUUUAGGCAUUUUCAAGUAAAACAAAGGUUGAAAAUGACUUUUUUAAAUCCUAGAAUCAUACGUUAAGUUUUUUAUCACCUUUUUAGUGGCUAAAAUUUUUAACAGCUGGUGAUGCUUGUUUUUUUUAAAAAAAAAAUCAGGUGCCCAACAUGUCUUGUCGUGGUGUGCAUAACAUCGAAUGACAUGUUUUCCUCUUGGGUUGUAGGGGUUUCAAGUGUGUUGGGAUUAAUCAUAAAUUUAUGAUUUUGCAAGGUUCAAGAGUCGCCGCUUAAUAUUUUGAUCACAAGAAAAUCUAUUAGUUUACAAGAGUUUGAGUAAGAGAACUAGUUGUGUACGAAAAAGAUAUAUCACUCUCAAUACACCCUACCUAUGUAAGCUGCAUUAUUGAUUGUUUUGUUUAGGUCUUUUUUUUUUCUUAAUCUGUUUAAGGUUCAAGAAAGAUUCUUCUCAAUAAUGAGGUUCUUAUCUCUGUGGACAUAAGACAUCAUCUCUAUCAAUAAGAAGGUCACUGACUUAUCAUGCUAAAAUCUAACUUUUUUAAUGCUCAAAUUUUAAUGAUGUAUUUGUAUUUUUAAUAGCCGAGGAUAUAUUUUACAGUGUGAUUUUAU